CUUUACAUGGACAAAGACUUGCAUUAGUUCCUAAAACAUUUUGAAGACAUAAAAAAGUUUAAAGUUUCAUGACAAGUUUAAGUUCUCUGAUUCUAGGCACUUGGAGUCAUUUUAAUUGGUACUAGAUGGGAAAACCAGACACUAUAGCCAUUAUAUAGAUUUUCAACAAUGCCAGACUCAGAGUAUAUACAGUCAGGACAAAAAGAAUUUACAAGACUAUCCACAACCCUCUCAUCUUGAUGAAUUGUUAAACCACAGAAACUUAAAGAAGACCUACAGAUAACCUAGGAUGUACAGUAUAAAGAACACCUACAGAAACCUAGGCUGCAUAGUAUAUACCACAAUGUAAAAGGAUCGGCCAGUUGCGUUCAUCUAUUAGGAACCCAAAAAUUGAGCAAUGACCUUAAAGAGUAAGCCAUGUGUGCAGUAAGAUAUCCAUCUUUGUAGUUACCAAAGAGUGGGGGUAAGAACCUAGUCUAUCAUUAUACAUGAGUUUUUACAGAGGAUAUAGGUAUACCGUAUUUUUAAUUUUUUUUGGUCCUGUUUGUAAGUUUGUCAUAAAGAAGUGGUAUGUGGUAUUAAUGUCAAUGGGAUAAAACACACAGAUAAAAAUAAGUUAAAUACUUUUUUAAGUAUGGAUGAAGAAAGACAGACUACCCUAUAACCAAAAGAAAGGACAGACAAAAGUAUGCCAAACAAUACACACACUAAAAAAUGUACAACACCAAUCAAAUCAAAGACCAAGGAUGAACUCAGGUGAUCCAGGAAGUCGGCACCAAAAGAAAGGACAGACAAAAGUAUACCAAACAAUACGCAAACUAAAAAAUGUACAACACCAACCCAAUCAAAUACCAAGGAUGAACUCAGUUGAUCUAGUAAGUCGGAACCAAAAGAAAUGACACACAAAAGUAACUAAAAAACGUACAACACCAACCCAAUCAAAGAACAAGGAUGAACUCAGGUGAUCGAUAAAGUUGGAACCACAAGAAAUGACAAGACAAAAUUUAACAAAACACUAAACUGAUAACUAAAAAAUGUACAACACUUACACCCAACCAGAGGCCAGGGAUGAACUUGGGUGACCCAGGACAGAAGUACUACAAGGAUUGUUUUGUUUACAACCAGGACAGGACAGGACAGAAGUACUACAAGGAUUGUUUUGUUUACUACCAGGACAGGACAGAAGUGGCUUCUUUUUCUUGUACCACUGAAACUUCACAGAAUAAUUGCGUCUAUUUUGAAGUUGUGUACCUGCUUAUAUGGAAUUGUUUGAGGAAUUUCCCCCCAUUUUUCCUUUAAUUCUGAUCUUGAAAACUGUUUUCCGAAAUUUUUAAAUAU